AGAGCGAACGCUGGCGGCAGGCCUAACACAUGCAAGUCGAGCGCCCCGCAAUGGGAGCGGCAGACGGGAGAGUAACACGUGGGAACGUACCCUUCAGUUCGGAACAACCCAGGGAAACUUGGGCUAAUACCGAAUACGUCCGUAAGGAGAAAGAUUUAUCGCUGAAGGAUCGGCCCGCGUCUGAUUAGCUAGUUGGUGAGGUAACGGCUCACCAAGGCUACGAUCAGUAGCUGGUCUGAGAGGAUGAUCAGCCUCACUGGGACUGAGACACGGCCCAGACUCCUACGGGAGGCAGCAGUGGGGAAUAUUGGACAAUGGGCGCAAGCCUGAUCCAGCCAUGCCGCGUGGAUGAUGAAGGCCUUAGGGUUGUAAAGUCCUUUCGACGGGGAAGAUAAUGACGGUACCCGUAGAAGAAGCCCCGGCUAACUUCGUGCCAGCAGCCGC
rnacentral:rRNA from 1 species